CUUUUCUGCAGUUUUGUGGUUAAUAACACUGAAAUUUCUCUGCCAUUUUGUAAUACAGUCAUUUUGCAUACUAAGAUUUUUUUUUUCAUUUUUCUUGUCAUCAGCUUUAGUUUUGACUAUUGUGAAUGAUUUUGGCUUCUUAUUCAGCAACUUUUCUAGAUCAUUUAUGAAUAUAUUGAAGAGCACGCAUCCCAUGAGCACUUUUGAUGAGACACCUUGUCUGGAGACUUUCUAAAGAAAAAAGUCUGCUCAUCUACUUGUUGAUUGCCCCAGAGAAAGCUCUUCGGGAAGAAGUAUUUGGUUUCUCGGUUCCUAAAAGCCCUUUGUUCAUGGUGAAAGUGGUGAAACAUGAAGAAUGACCGUGAUGUCUCAGAGUUCAUAAAAACUUAUUUGUGUGAAGAGCUUUCCAGGAAAAAUUUGACUCACCUCUUCCAUUUAAUUUUGUUUUGAUCCACGUUGUAUGUAACCUUUCUAUCAGC
rnacentral:lncRNA from 1 species